rnacentral:rRNA from 1 species
GGUUGCGAUCAUACCAGCACUAAUGCACCGGAUCCCAUCAGAACUCCGCAGUUAAGCGUGCUUGGGAGAGAGUAGUACUAGGAUGGGUGACCCCCUGGGAAGUCCUCGUGUUGCAACCC